UCUGUAGGUGGUUUAAUAAGUCAACUGUUAAAUCUUGAGGCUCAACUUCAAAAUCGCAGUCGAAACUAUUAGACUAGAGUAUAGUAGAGGUAAAGGGAAUUUCCAGUGGAGCGGUGAAAUGCGUAGAUAUUGGAAAGAACACCGAUGGCGAAAGCACUUUACUGGGCUAUUACUAACACUCAGAGACGAAAGCUAGGGUAGCAAAUG
rnacentral:rRNA from 1 species